rnacentral:lncRNA from 1 species
CUAAAAGAAUUUUAACGUUAGUCCAAUCUUGUGUAGUUAGCAUUUCAUCAUCUUCCUCACCACAAUCCCGAGAAUUAUACGUAGCGUUAAUUGGGAUUCUAUAUUCGUACGCUACUACUAAACUUUCGUACAUGUAAUUCCACCUAGUCGGCAAGGUUUAGGAACCUUUCUCUCUCUAAGGCCAUAUUCGUCACACUUUUUAAAAUAUUCUCUAAGUCUACUUCUACGGUUUGAAUAAAAUAGCCAAUUAAGAGCCAUUUUAACCUUUUCAANN